rnacentral:misc_RNA from 1 species
UCACCCCUCAAGCCUGGCUUGGUGUUGGGUGCCGUCCCGCCCCCGCGGCGUGGACGCUCCCUAAAACUAUCGGCGGUGCAGCACCGGCUUCAAGCGUAGCAGACCUUCGCUUUCUGGGGCCCGGUGCGGCGGCGGCCGCGACGCAGCAACCUCUA